rnacentral:lncRNA from 1 species
GUCACAGUAGGUUGCAUUUCUGUCAGUGCAGCCCUGUUGGCUCAGCUCUCUGCUUCCAUCUGUGGUAUCUCAGUGCCUGCAGGUUGGCAUCCCCACAAUACUGUUCCUAUGUGCUUUUAAUGCCUCCAAAGAAAACUUCUUUGAACUACCACGUCAUCUUUCCAGUUCCCCCAGUUCCUUCCUGUUGUGCACAGAACCCUCAGUUGUUCAUCUUGGGCUCACCAUGAGCUUCAGUCAUCUCAGUCAUAAUCACGGCCCUAAAACAAGCAUAAAAUCUCUCUGGAAAAGCCAAGCUGCUCCUGGGAUAAAACUUUCCAAGGUAGGCAGACUCGGCUUUGCACGGUUUCGUACUCAGGAACCAAAACCAGGACAACGAGGACAUAGAAAGUGAGAAUGGGAGUUCCCGUCGUGGCGCAGUGGUUAACGAAUCCGACUAGGAACAUGAGGUUGCGGGUUCGGUCCCUGCCCUUGCUCAGUGGGUUAACGAUCCGGCGUUGCCGUGAGCUGUGGUGUAGGUUGCAGACACGGCUCGGAUCCCGUGUUGCUGUGGCUCUGGCGUAGGUCGGAGGCUACAGCUCCGAUUGGACCCCUAGCCUGGGAACCUCCAUAUGCCGCGGGAGCGGCCCAAGAAAUAGCAAAAAGACCAAAAAAAAAAAAAAAAAAGAAAGUGAGAAUGGUCCAAACUGAGCCUUGAAUAGCUCAGGGAUGUUGAAGUAAUUGCUGGAAGUGAUGAUCAGAAAAUUCUGUGUCCAUGUGCCCAAGAGGGAAAAGAACAAAAUCAUUGUUUGGGGAAAAGUACACGCUUUUGGUAUUCUGUGUUCUCUACUCUGUAAAACAGAGGUAACUAUAGGUUCCUUCAAGUCCACAAUGUCGCAGGCUCUUUUCCUCCCUGGCUGACCAAGGAUUAAAAAUGAAUAUAUUUUGUUCUUUGCACAUCUCAGGUUUCAUCAAAAGAAACCCUUCUGUGAACAAGAAUUUAAUGGGCAAGAUCAGAAGACACAAGAAAGUCAACAGUUACAUAUGAAGAGUACACAUAGAAGAUCCAGUAAUAGAUAUUAAUUUUUAUACCAAAUUUGACGCACCUCCAAGCAUAAAUAUACCAGCAGGAUUCUAUUGAAUUUUGAAGGUUAAAAGAAGGUCACAAACACACAAAUACCACAACAACUGGUACAUCUCUGCAUGUAUUCAGAUAUUCAAAACUAAAAAGCUUCAAUAUUUGUUCCAGAGUGAAUGUUUAUUACUCACAAACAUGACUUUCAGUCUCUUUUUUGAUGCCUAUACUCAAUAAGAAUUGCACUUCACACAACAACCAGUAUAGACACU